rnacentral:rRNA from 1 species
CCCAAAUCGGGCCUGGCCACAUCUCCCUCUCUUUCCCCUGCCUCCUUCUCCAGCAAAGGCCGCCGCCACGGCCAGGCCGGCGUGGGGCGCGCCACCGGCUCCACUUCGCCGCCGCACCUCCGCACUCCAUCCAUCCAUUCGCUGCACCGCGACCCAUCCACCAUAACUACCACGAGUCCCUUGCUGCACCUCAUGCCACCAAUCUGAAUCUCUUCUUCCUUCUUGCUGCUGUUCAUCCCAAUCUCGCUGCUGUUCAUCUUUGCUACUGCCCGCAGCUCUCUUCGUCUCUCUCAAACUUGUUGAUGCAGAUGCCCUCAACCUCCUGCUGCUCCUCUCUUCUUACGCCCCUGCUGUUGCCCCUUCUACCCCUACCUCGCUGCUGCUCUGCUUCUUUUUCAUCCCCACGCUGCUGCUACUCCUUCUCUCUACGCCCCUGCUGCUGCUUCUUUCCCAAUCUUGCCAUUGCCCUUCUGCAUCUCCAACUUGCUGCUGCUCCUCUGAACCUCUUCUCCUCCUAGUGCUGCUUCUAUCUUGCCGCUUCCCUGCAGCGGUUCCUUUCCUUCACCCGCUGCUCUCUCUGUGUAUGUGUGUGCGUGUUCGUGUGUGUGAGAUUGUGUGUGUUUGUACUUCAUAAGUAUUGAUAGUGUGUGAUGAAGAGAUAUGUUAAUUCCAGGGACAUGUAGCUGUUCUUAUAAUUUUGUUGAUCAGUGAGAAUUGGUACUGAUGCUGAUGACCUUCUAUUUCUAUGUAUGAGAUCUAGCUAAACCUGUCAUUUAUAUUCUGUACUUGUUGAAUAGUGUUCAAUUUUCAGUCCCUAUUUUAGCUCUAGUACCCGUGACAUAUGUUCGUGAUAUAUGUUUCAUGUGGUUUCGUAUUGCUAUUAUGUUGAUCAUUUUAGUGCUAGUAUUGUGUCUUGUGUAAUCCAAACCAUAUAUGAUUUGUGCGUGUCACUAAUUGUCAGCUAGUAGCUUUUAAUAAUUCAUAUUGUUUCUUGUGAAUUUUCUAUCGAUGUUAGUCUCUGUAGAAGUGAGAUGUAUGAACAUUUAAUUUCCAGUCUCUGUGUUAACGAUGUUAGUGUGAAAAUAUAUAUGUUUUUGUUGUGAUAUAUUUAUGUCCCUGUCGUACUAGCAUGUUCCUACCUUGUGUCUCAUACUUGCUAUAUAUAUAUAUAUGGUCUUGCCUUGGUAAUUCCCCUCGUUGAGGAUGUCCGUCUAAAGUUUCAAUUUGCUCAAGUGAUAUGAAAACACCAAAAAGAGAGCUCCUCGUGUUGUUUGUCAUUUUAUUUGUCAUCAUUCUAGAUUUAUAUUUUCUUCUUUCAUCAUCUAAAUUCUGUCACCUAGCUUUAGCCGAGCAUUGUUGCCGUCGCCUAGUCCAUGUGGAGAACAGGACACUGCAGAUUUGGGCGAAAUACCCUGCUGUACUUAUGAUUGAUCACGGCCAUGGCAAAGCAAUGAGCAGCAGCAAAACUAAGAGCAGCGGCAGCAGCUAAGUAGCAGCAAGGCAGUAGCAGCCAGCGGCAGUAAGCAGCGCUAGCAGCAGUCGCAAAGGAGCAGCACAGCAUACGGCGCAUCAGCAUAACGCAGCAGCAGGGCCAGGAGCAGGCACGCGGGCUUGUGUGGGCGAGCGGCGGCAGCAACAGUGCUGUAGCGUGGGCAUCGGCGAGCGGGCGAGAAAGGGCGCGGCCCGGACGGGCACUGGCGCGCUAAGGCACGGCCUGGGUGGGCACGAGUAAGGAUGGC